CCUUUCCCCUCACUUUAGGUUUUGCAUCCCAUACUAGCUAUAGGGUUCAUUUUGCUUGAGUGUCCCCUCUUGAUAAGGGAAACGAGCGAGUGUGGCUACUCGAUAGCCUUAGCACGCUAGUUUCGCCUUCUAAUCAAAGGGAAAAUCAAGUCACGAUUUAGGUCUCCCCGUACCCAAUAUGCAUGAAUUCCCUAGGCUCAUGCAUUCUCAAUCCACUCUAUCAUUACACUUUCACUUUUGUCUCAUUUGCACACAUGCACCCUUUUAUCACUUUCACUUGCACACGAACACUUUUAUCUUCACUCGCACACGAGUACUUUCAUCUACAUUUGCACACCUUCACUCUUAUCUUAUUACUUUUAUCAUUUUUUCACUUCACAUAAACUCACACUUUCACAUGGCAUGCAUUCCACUCAUUUUUCACGUCAUUUAGGUUUAGGUGUGACCUCUCCAAAAGGAUCAUUAUUGGGCUUCACAAUUAAUGUGAUUGGCACCACUCAACCUUUGAAGAGAAAUUUCCCCCAAUCCCCCUAGGUCUAGGGUUUUGCAUUCAUAUAGACAUAUCCAAUAUGCGAUACAUACCAUGGGUAGAAAAAUUAGGAAAAAUUGGUUUAAGUCACGCAACUAGCCUUGGCUAGGUCGAAGGGGUGCCUUGGAUUUUUAUCCUUGCCUUCCCCUUUGUCAAACGUGACCCCCGAACCUUUUUCUUUGGCUUACGUGGACUAGGAGUCGUUUUAAAAAGGGUUUUACUACUUUGUCUUUAAAAAACACUUUUUGGGUGACUUGGUACACCCCAAAUCUAUACCAAGUGGCGACUCCGUUUUCAUAUUUAAAAAACCCUUUUUAAAAUUUCAUUUGGCCAAAUCGUCGCUUUCCAAAGUCCCAUGGCCUUUUACUUUUCAUUUUGCACACGUUCACACCACACUUCACACACACAUCACUCACACACCACACCAUACACAAUUCAUUCGAAAAGUGGGGCGCGACAGUUGGCGACUCCACUGGGGACUUCUUAAGUGGGUCCGAGCAUUUGACUUAGCCAUUCGUUUCCUUUUUCUACCCUUUUUAUGCAUUGCAUUUGGAUAUUAGGGUUGCACUUUUUAUUUUAGGACUUUUUCGCCUCGCGCGCGUAUCAAACUUUUCCCUCACUCACGUAUGUGUGAUUGGUUGAUUGGAUGUAUGUUUAUUUAUUUAUCUCGCGCUUGCAUUGCAUUUGGGAGGGGGCGUGUCACCUUUAGAGCCUCACGUUGGUUCUCAACCCCUUCCCUCAAAAUAGGGGAGCACUUCAUACGUGCACGUUUACUUGCUUUUAUCCCAUUUUAUUUUGUUUUUCGUGGGCGUUUCCCACACCGCCUUGUAGGAUUAGGAUCGAUUGCCUUGGGUAGGCGGCUGGUGUGCUCUGCGCCCAUAGCGCUACCUAAGGGAUCACUCGAGCCACCGAUCGAAGGCCCUGGGAGUGAUGACCCUUUGCCUUUAGGUCUGAAGGCUUGGGAACCGAAGCUUUAUCGAGUCUAGGCAUUAGUGAACCCCAGCCUCAUGCAUCCAUAUUAGAAUUUUCCUAGGUUAGAGUCAGUCUCACCCUAUUUUAAGCACAUUAGGCACGAGGGAGGGGGUUCCACCCCUUUUACUUGCUUUUUAUUGUAUUUCUUUUCUUAAUUGCUCCCAAUGUGUUAUGUGUACUAUCAAAUUGCACUAACCGUUCUUUUGUUUUCUUGGCUUGCAUUCAUGUGCCUUAGCGAUAAGAGGCCUCUUUGGCACUCUUUUAGUGACUCACCCACUAGAUAGCUCACAUGUCUAAAUUUCAGUCUUUGCACUUGCUUUUCAGUAAAUACAUUUCAUGUUUAGACCUUUUCCCCCCGUUGCAUUAUUUAUGUCCUUUAGCUCACAUUUCAUGUUUGUCACAUAUUUACAUAGCUUUAAUAAACUGGCAUCAUGCAUAAACCCUAGAAAGGGAAUGCCACAUAGGGAAUCCCGUGUUUAGGAUAAGCCACCUUGUGUCUCGGAUACUUAAUCCAGUGAGACUUGCACGUUUACAUUUUGUACCAUCCAAAGGGGUAGUGCACAAGGUAAGGUAGGAUCCGAUUAUUUUCAUAGAGUGAUCUUUGGAAUAUGAGCAUCUAAUAAUCACUUUUUGGCCAUUUUAGCAAAAAUUGGUAAAAAUCCCUUGCGUGAAGGACAUUAAUUUGAAGAAAUUCACAAAUGAUUCCUCCUGUUGAGACGAUAAAUGAAUUGAGGCCAAAAUUUGAUUUUUAGAAGGUCAUAGACCAAUGCACCUCAAUAAUUUUGGAAUAACCAAUGGCCGGACAAUUCAACCAAUCCAUUUUGCCAAUUCAUUCAAUAAAUCGUCAAUUCAUUUGACCAAUUUACCCUUUUAGGGUCAUUCGAUCGAUUUUGAAUAAAUCGUCAAUUCAUUUGACCAAUUUACCCUUUUUUAGGGUUACCUGGUCAAUUUUCAAUAAAUCGUCAAUUCAUUUGACCAAUUUACCCUUUUUAGGGUCAUUCGGUCGCCUUUGAAUAAAUUAUCAAUUCAAUUGACCAAAUUACCCUUUUUAGGGUCUUUUGACCAAUUUACCCUUUUUAGGGUCAUUCGGCCGAUUUUUGAAUAAAUCCCUAAUUCAAUUUCAUUCAUUUGACCAAUUUACCCAUUUUUAGGGCAACCGAGCCGAUUUUGAAUAAAACAAGUUUCGUUCAAUCUAUUUGAUCAAUUUACCCUUUUUAGGGUGAUCUGAUUAAUUUUGGAUAAAUUUCAUUCAAUUCAUUUGACCUGUUUCCCUUUUUAGGGUAAUUCGGUCGAUUUUUAAUAAAUUGUCAAUUUCAUUCAACCCAUUUGCCCUAUUAGGGUUUCAUUGUCAAAUUCCAAAUUGGGAAAUCUAGUCAAUUUUGAAGAAAACCGUCCAUUGCAUCCAAUCACUUGAUCAAUUAGGGUUUUGACCCGUAAUUCACUGAGAAAUUUUAUCAACGAAUUCCAAUCUCUUUGAUAGGAGUUCGUCAAGGUCAAACCCAUGCGUUUUGCAAAUCAAAGGUGAUCAAUCUAUUCGGACGUUGUCCUCAUUUUGACAAAUCUCUCGUCACUCCAAUGGCCAAAUUUUUCAAAUUAUUUUUCACUCAAUGAGUUGAUCAGAUCCGUCAGGUAUGGUAUAGUGCUUACCCUAGAGGAUUGCAUUUUCAUGCUAGGCCUACCCUUGGCAUAAAAGGGCUCCCCCAUAGGACAUGCAUACCGAUUUUGCAGUUUUGCCUACUAACUCGGGGUAUUUUUCUUUUGUUUUCCCCUCCCCUGCAUUCAUAAAAUGUUUCAAUAAGGCGAAAACAUUUUUCUAUAUCUGAUGAUAAUUUUGGUCCAAUAAAGUUUGAAGGUUACAACUAUUAUUUGAUUCUUGGGUAGAUCUUGCCACGGAGACAUGAAAGAUCCAUCUGAAGGCUCUAGGCCAAAAUCUCUGAGAGGCUUUAUAAUUGUUUUUCAAAGGAAAAUUCUGUUUAUUUGAUGUGUUAAUACAUUUUUGCUCUAAAAGGAAGGGAGACAAAAAGAGUAUAUAUGUGGGGCUCUUUAGAAGUUUUUUCUUCUCAUUUGUAUCAUAAUUGAACGAGAAAUUUUGUUUCAAAUUUUUUCAGCAAUAAAAAUUUUUGGACAAUUAUUGUUUUUUAUAUUCAUGUACAUUUCAUUCUUUAUUCUUACUCAUUGGAGAGUUCAUGAUGAAUUUUGAGAAAUAAAACCAAAUUGAGAUUUUUUCCAACCUCAGUCUGAGGAUUCACAAGUGUAUACUCUCUAAAAUCUUCAUGCAUACCAGGUGGGUGAUCCGAGCUGUACAAUAAAAGUGCUCAAAAAUAAGAGAGGUCCUUCAAAAGGCCCAAUGAGAUACCUUUUCUCCUUCGCUGAACAAUUCGUGUUUUGCCACUUCUAUUGACCCCAUUGGGGCAACCUUUACUUGGAAAGAUGUCCAUAGUGUCUAAUUAGACUCAAAUCACAUCUAAGUGAAAGCGGAAGGGUGCAUUAUUCUUAUUUGUUUUGAAAAUUUGGAAUGAUACUUUGAGCAUUCGUUUCUCUACCCAUACAGAUUUUAUCAUUUGCUCUCCCGUUUGAGCCUUUAAAAGAAUAACUUCGUUUCAAAUAAGUGCCUUGAUGAUCACAACCCUACAUGGGAAAAUUUUUCAAAUAUCAAAAGGGGGAAUGGAUUCUCAAUGAGCGUUUCUUUACUUUGGUUUGUCAUGAAACGUAAGAAUGAUGCUUUGGCCAUCGUUUCUACCAUUUAAACACUGGUUUAUCCCUUGCAUCCUCAUUUGAGCCAAAAUUACUGGUCCUUUUCAAAGCACUUAUGAUCGCCCCCCACACUGGGGAAGAAGAUUGGAGAAUUUUCCAAAAGAGAGAGAAAAGCCAAAAUGCUAAGGCUAAAAGGGAGAGAACCGCAAAUUGGAAAUUUGAUUCCACUUGGGUUCCAAUGUUGAAAAAAGAAAAGGAAGAAUUUCAUCUGGUGGAUCAUCUAUGCUUCACAGGCGUCUUCCUCAGUCAAUUAAUUCAAAUACAUGCGAGAAAUUUCGUCAUUAAUGAAAGUUUCCUUUCAGAGUUAUUGUAAGGAACGGAAUACAAGUCAGGCCAUCUUCUUUUCCAAUCAAGCAUUCUAUCCUUAGUUAUCCUUUUUGAGCCUUCAGAAUAAAAUACUUCGUUUGGCAACCCCUGAGAAUCGCAAACCCCACACUGGGGCAAGUUGAGUUGAAAAAGGAAAAUUUCAAGAAGUGAAAGGUGAAAAGCCACAAGAUCAAAAGACAAAAGAGAAAAGAGAACCUCAGUUCAAAAUUAAAUUGGGGCAAAUUUUGUGAAAGUUCAAAAAUGGCCGAAGGCCGAAAAAUCAAAAAAAGAAAGAAAAUGAAAGAGAAAAGCCUCAAUUGAGCAAAAACUGAGGCAAAUUCUGAUUUUACCCUAAAAUAGGGUUUAGCGCAACAAUGCGAUCUCAGAUUCUUCAAACCACUUUUGAAAUCCGUUUUCAAGCCUUAACUUUUCUAAGCACCCCACCUGACCCCAGUACAAAAGCCGAAAGCCCUGACUUCUGUUCUUUGCAAUGGCCCUGUCAAGAAAAUUUCUGAUGUCGAAAAUUUUUGCUGUAUUCUGAAUUGAUUAGGUGUGAGGUUGACACUGCUCUUCAUGUGAAACCCCGCGAAGGGGGAAAAAGAAAAGAAAAAUGAGCGAAAUGAAUGCAAAAGAAAGGUGCAAAAAAAGAUUUGAUGCCGAAAGACCCUGUUGAGUGAUGACAAAAGUCAAACAAAGUCCAAGAUCUUAGAGUCCAAAUUGAGGGUAAUUUUGAGAAAAACGCGAUCUUCGGUGCAAUGUCCUUGAAAAUUAUUUCUUUAGCUAUCGUUUUCAAGCCAAAUUACAAGCUGAUAAAGUCCAUCGUUGACUUAUUCCUUCAUGACAAUCCAAAGUGGCGAUUAUGCUCGUAAGCCAUCAAUCAUUUGUGAUCAUGGGAGUAUAACCAGUUUUCACAGGUUUAGCUAUCGUUUCUACCCAUUUUAUUGCAAGCCAUUAAAGCUUAUAUGUUGACUCAAUUUUCUUAAGAAAUGAGGGUGACAAACUAUUUGCUUUCACUAAGAUGUGACAUUGAAUGGGUUACACACGACUGGGGCACAAAAAAUGAGACAAGUUCUGACCUCCCAUUUCUUUAGCCGUUUCAAAAAUAAAGUCACUUGAUUGGUCUUGAAAGAUGAACCAACCAGAAAUGGUGACCCAUCACCUAAAGCAUUGAUGCUAGAGUGGGGAAGAAAUCUUUCGUAAUUUGGCAUUAUUUUGAGAAAUUCAUCAUGAAAUUUGUUAUAUGAGUUUAAGCAAGACAUUUCAAUUUCCUUCACACGAUAUGUUGGGAAAAGCAAUUGCUUACUCGGUUCAAAGAAAUGGAGGAUCAUUCAAACAAAUUUUUUGCAAUCAAGGGAGCCCACACUGGGGCAAAAUUUUAUUUGUGAGAUUUCAUGAAAUAAGCCUAUACUGGGGCAGAUUUUUUGUAAUACAUGUGGGAUUUUUGUCCAAAAGUCAAAAUGAUACAUUUUCGAAUCAAUCACGUUGCUCUUUUCAUGAAAUCAAGUGCAUGUCAUGCUUUGUUAAGGCCCCUGUGCAGGUAUUCAUGAUUCAAAAUGACGAAAAGCAUCCAGUAAGGCGAAAGGCCGAUACUGCAAAGAGAAGCAAGAAGAAGGAGGAAAAAUGGACCCGACACUGGGGCAAAUUUUGUUGAAAAAUUCUCUCGGAAAAAUCCGAAGGGAAGGGGAAAAUUCAGAAAAAUCAAAAAUCAAAAUCAAAUUCUUGUUUCUUGGAAAAUCUUGUUUCUUGACAAAUCCAAUUCAAUUUCUUGUUCCAACAUCUCGUUGGGUCUGGACUUCGUGCCGCCAACAUUCCAAACAUCAAAUUGGGACCGGGUUUCAUCCCGCCAAUCUCGGCAGGAUCGGGUAUAAUCCCGCUGACCGUGUUUAUCAAAUUGGGACCGGGUUUCAUCCCGCCAAUCUCGGCGGGACCGGGUAUAAUCCCGCUGACCGCUUUUUAUCAAAUUGGGACCGGGUUUCAUCCCGCCAAUCUCGGCAGGAUCGGGUAUAAUCCCGCUGACCGUGUUUAUCAAAUUGGGACCGGGUUUCAUCCCGCCAAUCUCGGCAGGACCGGGUAUAAUCCCGCUGACCGCUUUUUAUCAAUUUGGGACCGGGUUUUAUCCCGCCAAUCUCGGCAGGACCGGGUAUAAUCCCGCUGACCGCUUUUUAUCAAUUUGGGACCGGGUUUCAUCCCGCUGAUUGGGGCAGGACCGGGUUUUAUCCCGCCAAUCUCGGGACAGCUGACCGGGUUUUUAUCCCGCCAAUCUCGGCAGGACCGGGUUUUAUCCCGCCAAUCUCGGCAGGACCGGGUUUUAUCCCGCUGACCGUCCACACCCCGUCAGGCUCAGAUGUCGUCUCACUGACCAAUUCAUCAUACUGGGGCAAAUUUUGAAAAGAUUCCCUCAAAAAAAAAAAAUCAAUCAAAAAAAUCAAAAAAUCAAAAAAAAAUCCAAAAAUCCAAAAAUCCAAAAAUCAAAAAAUCAAAAAAUCAAAUCAAGUUCUCACGGCAGGUUCGGGUUUGAUCCCACUGUCCGAUUGUCAAAAGACAUUUCAUUUUCACCGCCACUGGAGCAUGGGUUUGUCCCAUUAGUGUGCCUUUCAAUUUUCAUUUGCACCACUAACAAACAUGGGUCAGUCCCAUUAACACUUCAUUUCGCUUCUUUCAUUUGCAUCACCAAUAAACAUGGGUCAAUCCCACCAACACUCCAUCUCACUUCAAUUCAUCAAUUUUACAUUUCUGUCCGGGUCUAUCCCGUGGGUCUAUCCCAAUUUAAAUUUCAGUCCGGGUCUAUCCCGUGGGUCUAUCCCAAUUUUAAAUUCCAGUCCCAUUUAAAUUGCUGUUCGGGUCAGUCCCGUUUUAAAUUUCUGUUCGGGUCAGUCCCGUUUUAUUUUCCAUGUUCGGGUCAGUCCCGUAUUAGAAUUCCUGUUCGUCGGAAUUUUUUGCAGCCCAAUAACACAGGUAAGUAUUUGGUGUCUACUUCUUUGUCUCAAGUUUUUCCAAAACUCAGACAAAGAGGGGCAAACUGUAGACACCAAAUUUUGAAUUGAUUUAUAUGCUUCGUUUUAGUGAUAAGUCUUGUCUAUUGAUUUUUGUUUAUCUCAUGAUUUUUGUUUUAAAUGGUUUGCAUUUUUUGUUUUGCCCCUUUAGAUGUUAUUUUAUUUUAUUUUUAGUUUUAUUUACUUUUUAGUUUUUUAGUUUUUGUUUUUGAAGGUUUUAGCGUAGAAAAUCAUGAAAAAUGGAAAAAAAAGGAAAAAUCAUGGAAAAAGAGGGAAAAGGGAAAAUAAAAAUAGCAUUUUUGUUUUUAUUUAUCUAUUUUAGUCAUUUCUAAUUAAUUUAAAUUUUGUUUUUGUUUGGUUCAUUUAGGAAAAAAAAAGAAAAAAAAGAAAAUGGAUGAAAAAUGGAAGUUGUAAUUUGCUGUUCAAUAUCAAUUUCUGUUAUUAUAAAUUUUUGUUAUUAUCAUUUAUUUCAUUUUUAUUGUUAUUAAUUUCUGUUUUAAUUAGCUGAAAAAGGAAAAAAAGGAAAAUUGUUGCCGCAGCAUGAAAGCUGCGGACUUGCGCCGUUUGCAAAGAAAUCUGGGACGGCUCCUGAAGCUGCAAAAUACAGAAAAAAGACAGAGGUUCUUAGGGUUGAACUGGGAUAUAAAAGCAAAAGAGGAGCCAGCAGCCGCAAGGGAGAGGUUCUCGGAUAGAACAAAAAAAAAACAGCGAGAGAAAGAGAGGGAACUUCAUCGUGGGGGAGAGCUAGCAAACUGGAAAAGACAGAGAGGGAGGCUGAGAGGUGAUGGCAAGGCUGGAAGGAGUGAAUGGCUAAAAAUUAUUAGAGAGAGCCGAGAGAGUUUCUUGGGGGAGACAAAAAGAAAGCAAAAGGAAAAAACAGAAAGAGCUGGGAUUGAGAGAAUAGGGGCAACGGGCAAAAACAGAAACGGAUAGAGAAAGAAAAAACAGAGUAGCCGAAGCUGCUGCACCAACGAGGAGCCACCACCCCCCACCUCAUCGAGUCCACUGCCAUCGGCAAAUCUUUGCCCAGAAAAUAUGUGCACAACGAGAAACGGAGGGGCGGCGGACAAGAACCUACUGGCAAGAAGAACGCAAGAAAGCUUCGGGAGGUUGAGGGAAACAGAGAAAGUGGAUGGCGGAGGAAUGGGAGCAGACGCCGUUCGCCGGAAAUUACCACCAUCACCGGCGAACAUUCACUGAGAAGGAGUACGGUAAGUAGCUACGUUCCUUUGAAUUUCAGUUUUGCUUCUUCAAAUGCAAGUUCUGGAAAAAUCCCCAACCCCAAGCAUGAUUCCGUGAAUUGGUUGUUGCGAGUUUCUUGAUUGAUUGCCCGUCAUUCUUUUGAUCGUGCGUGCUCUUAUGAGAUUAAUGUGACUGAAAUUUUGUUUCUGAAUAAUUUUGGGCCGGUCAUAGUUUCAAUAUAUCAAAGAAUUGGUGAAGCUUUUAGUGCCCCCAAUCUGUUCGAUGAAAUGUCUAGCCGAAAACUUUUGUUGAAAGAUUUUGUUGCACUUCUUGUGUGAAGGAACUGGCUAAGUCGGCCAAUCCGUUUCCUCACGUUUGGAUAAAUUUUAGUGCAUCUUUUUCUGUUUUUCCUUCCCUCGUGUUUUGUAAACCCAAAAUAAUAUGGCAUGAGAGGGAUUGAGAUGGAAUUCGUGUGAGAGUUUCUUUUGGAAUCUGAAGUGGAGCUUUCUGGUGUUCUUCGUCUAAAAACAUGGCAGCGAGCAUUUAGCCUGAUUUGAAGAAGAUGACCGUGUGUUUAAUUCAUAAUUUCGGUCCCUUUUUUCCUUUUGUUUGUGAUUCCGUCCUGAAGUUUCUGAAGUUUAUAAUCCGACCCCAAAUCAUUCACAAUUCAUUCAGUUAGGCCCCUAUCUGCAUUGCAUUGGAACCCCGCAAAUCCCACCUUGUUCUGAUAUGACCCGGAAAAUUAAAAACAAGUAGACUUGUUUCUCCCUUUUAGAUUUUAAUCAUCUUCUAAUAUGCAUGAGUAGUCUUUUGACCAGAUUAAUUCUUGUUUGUAGGUUAUAAUUGUGGUUUAAUAAUUCUAUUUGAUUUUAUCAUGUUGGGUUUAAUGGAACAAGUGUUUUGGGCUAAGAGGUUAUUUUUGUUUGGGCUUAAGAAAGUUGUUUUAAUUUAUUGUGUUUGUUUUUUUUGGGUUUGGGCUAGAGGGUCAAGGCCCAUCUAUUUGGUUGGCUAAUCUUUGGGCCAAAAUAAUACUAGCCCACUUGUUUUCCCUUGGACUUUCGAUUGGGCCAAGUGAUCUUGGCCCAAGAAAGGGGAAGAUGGCCCAUUCCUUUUUGUUUUGGAUUUCCGAUUGGGUUUGGACGGUCUUGGCCCAAACGAACAAAUAAAAUGGUUCAUUCCCUUCUUGCUUUGAAUUUCCAUUGGGCUGGGAAACUUUGGCCCAAACAAAUAAAGGCAAUAGCCCAGUGGCUUGAUCCACUAAGAAACCAGAAAGCAAAUUUGCAAAUCCGCCCCUGAAUUUCUCCUUAGAUGUAUUGUGGCUCUGGACAUUUUCAACUUCUUUCAAUUCGGUCCUUAACUUAAUUGUAAUUAAGUCCCUGAACUUUAUUUUUCUUUAAUUUUGACCCCAAAACUUUGUUCGCUUUUGCAAUUAAGUCCCUUCUUCUUUUGACUUCUUAAAUGUGGGUUUUGACAUGAUUCAAUUCAUGCUUAUUUUUAUCCUUUGUGAUUAUUUGCCAAAUAAAUUGGUGCCUUGACCUUUUCUUUGUAUUUUGGAGGGUAAAUAGUUGAUCUCAUUUCAUUGGGCCCCAAUUGCAAAAGAGGUAACUUCUAUAUUCUUGAGUUUAUUUUUCCUACGUGCUCCUACGUGUUAUGUGAAUAUGCAUGUCUACUUUGCUUUCCUUGUCUUUCCUUAAUUCUUUCAUUUAUUUUAUUUACUUUUGCUUUUUAUUUAAGUUAUUCAUUAUGGGGUAUGUGUACACCUCUUGGCUUGUAAUAGAUAGGGCUCAGAGAGCAUCUGGUCCAUUUCCCCUUCCCCUUUAUGCUUUUAUGGGGUAUGUGUACACCUCUUGGCUUGUAAUAGAUAGCGCUCGGAGAGCAUCUGGUCCACUUCCCCUUCCCCUUGCUUGCUUGUUUUUGUUGCUAUAUGUUUAAUUGCUUUAUUAGGCUCAUUCUUCUAGUCGAGCAUGCUAAAUGCUAUGUGCUAUGUGUUUACGAGUAUUUUGGCAUGUCUACUUGCUUUCAUAGCCAUGAAUGAAUGGAAUGGAUGAAUGUACGUUUCCGCUAGUCCAACGCUAGUCGGAAUUCAUAGAAUGGGCUAGUCCAACGCUAGACCCUUAGGGAUUUCCCCUCAUUAGCAUAUCAUUUGCCUGUUCACUACAUAUCAUGCAUUUUUUCUUAGUUUUAUCAUCUGGUAUGCUCCUCGAUUCCCCUUUCCCCUCACUUUAGGUUUUGCAUCCCAUACUAGCUAUAGGGUUCAUUUUGCUUGAGUGUCCCCUCUUGAUAAGGGAAACGAGCGAGUGUGGCUACUCGAUAGCCUUAGCACGCUAGUUUCGCCUUCUAAUCAAAGGGAAAAUCAAGUCACGAUUUAGGUCUCCCCGUACCCAAUAUGCAUGAAUUCCCUAGGCUCAUGCAUUCUCAAUCCACUCUAUCAUUACACUUUCACUUUUGUCUCAUUUGCACACAUGCACCCUUUUAUCACUUUCACUUGCACACGAACACUUUUAUCUUCACUCGCACACGAGUACUUUCAUCUACAUUUGCACACCUUCACUCUUAUCUUAUUACUUUUAUCAUUUUUUCACUUCACAUAAACUCACACUUUCACAUGGCAUGCAUUCCACUCAUUUUUCACGUCAUUUAGGUUUAGGUGUGACCUCUCCAAAAGGAUCAUUAUUGGGCUUCACAAUUAAUGUGAUUGGCACCACUCAACCUUUGAAGAGAAAUUUCCCCCAAUCCCCCUAGGUCUAGGGUUUUGCAUUCAUAUAGACAUAUCCAAUAUGCGAUACAUACCAUGGGUAGAAAAAUUAGGAAAAAUUGGUUUAAGUCACGCAACUAGCCUUGGCUAGGUCGAAGGGGUGCCAUGGAUUUUUAUCCUUGCCUUCCCCUUUGUCAAACGUGACCCCCGAACCUUUUUCUUUGGCUUACGUGGACUAGGAGUCGUUUUAAAAAGGGUUUUACUACUUUGUCUUUAAAAAACACUUUUUUGGGUGACUUGGUACACCCCAAAUCUAUACCAAGUGGCGACUCCGUUUUUCAUAUUUAAAAAC
rnacentral:lncRNA from 1 species